GUGGGGAAUAUUGGGCAAUGGGGGCAACCCUGACCCAGCGACGCCGCGUGGGUGAAGAAAUCCCUCGGGAUGUAAAGCCCUGUUGUAUGGGAAGAGCAGAAGACGGUACCAUACGAGGAAGCCCCGGCAAACUACGUGCCAGCAGCCGCGGUAAUACGUAGGGGGCAAGCGUUGUCCGGACUUACUGGGCGUAACGCGCACGCAGGAUGAAUUAUAAGUCGGUAGUCAAAUACGGAGGCUCAACUUCCGGAUAUCUAUCGAUACUGUAAAUCUAGAGUAUGUGAGAGGGAAGCGGCAUUCGCGGUGUAGCGGUGACAUGCGUAGAUAUCGGGAGGGACACCAGUGGCGAAGGCGGCUUCCUGGCACAAUACUGACGCUCAUGUGCGAAAGCUAGGGCAGCGAACGGGAUUAGAAACCCGAGUAGUCC
rnacentral:rRNA from 1 species